GACGAACGCUGGCGGCGUGCUUAACACAUGCAAGUCGAACGGAAAGGCCCUGCUUUUGUGGGGUGCUCGAGUGGCGAUCGGGUGAGUAACACGUGAGUAACCUGCCCUUGACUUUGGGAUAACUUCAGGAAACUGGGGCUAAUACCGGAUUGGAGCUCCUGCUGCAUGGUGGGGGUUGGAAAGUUUCGGCGGUUGGGGAUGGACUCGCGGCUUAUCAGCUUGUUGGUGGGGUAGUGGCUUACCAAGGCUUUGACGGGUAGCCGGCCUGAGAGGGUGACCGGCCACAUUGGGACUGAGAUACGGCCCAGACUCCUACGGGAGGCAGCAGUGGGGAAUAUUGCACAAUGGGCGGAAGCCUGAUGCAGCAACGCCGCGUGCGGGAUGACGGCCUUCGGGUUGUAAACCGCUUUCGCCUGUGACGAAGCGUGAGUGACGGUAAUGGGUAAAGAAGCACCGGCUAACUACGUG
rnacentral:rRNA from 1 species